CUACGGGUGGCUCCAGUCGAGAAUCAUUCGCAAUGCGCGCAAGCGUGACGAUGCGACGCCGCGUGCCUGAUGAAGUUCUUCGGGAUGUAAAGGGCUUUUCUUCAAGAACAAGUCCCGCUUUUGGCGGGAUUGAGGGUAUUGGAGGAAUAAGGGGUUGCUAAACUCGUGCCAGCAGCCGCGGUAAUACGAGUGCCCCGAGCGUUGUCCGGAAUCACUGGGCGUAAAGGGUGUGUAGGGGGCGUUGUUAGUCCCGCUUUAAAUUUUUAUGCUUAACAUAAAAGGUGGGCGGGAUACGGCAGCGCUGGAGGACGCGAGAGGUUGAUGGAACUCUGGGUGUAGGGGUGAAAUCCGUUGAUAUCCAGGGGAACACCGAAUGCGAAGGCAGUCAACUGGCGCGUACCUGACCCUGAAACACGAAAGCGUGGGUAGCGAAAAGGAUUAGAUACCCUCGUAGUC
rnacentral:rRNA from 1 species